UUAAUUUUCUACAACUGGACAAAGGAGGUUGAUACUUAUCCUGUGUGGAUUAGAUCAAGAGAAAAUUAACCAAGACUCAAGAAAGACCAAGAAUACAAGGACAAAACAGUGUGAGGAAAAUCCAGAAAAACACGAUGGCGGUAUCAGAGUUGGCAGCAUGUCGGAUCGCUGCCUUCAGUUGGGCACCAGUGAGGGUCAGGGUGAUUCACUCAACGUGCUUCAGGAAAAAGACGUUACGAUUUCUACUGAGUGUGAGGAAAAUCCUGAAGGCCGAGGGGGAUGCGUCAUAUUUGACGAGAAGUCAUAUCCACUCCCAGUGCUGAACACCUCCACCGAGAACCAGGAAGAAGACCGUAUAUUUGGGUGCAGUUUUCAGAGCUCAGUAUAUCCCGAAAUGGAUCAAGAUCACAGAGCAAUGCAGGUUCCAGUCCAGUGUCUGGAAAAUCAUCUGGGGUGGCUUGGAGAAGUCGUCUAUGACAAGAUAUCCCAUCACUUUUUGCAACCACAAUCAUUUAUGUGUCAUAUUAGCUUCAGGGGUUUGGAUGUUU